CAGAGUUGCAAAACUCCCACAAACCACCGCGAAUCUUACCCGUACGGUUGCCUCGGCGCUGGCGGUCCGGAAGGCCCUCGGGCCCCCCGGAUCCUCGGGUCUCCCGCUCGCGGGAGGCUGCCCGCCGGAGUGCCGAAACCAAACUCUUGAUAUUUUAUGUCUCUCUGAGUAAACUUUUAAAUAAGUCA
rnacentral:misc_RNA from 1 species